AAUCAACAAAACAGAUAGAACACUGUAUAUGACGA
rnacentral:guide_RNA from 1 species